rnacentral:tRNA from 1 species
GCCCGCAUGGCUCAGUGGUAGAGCGCCAAUCUAGUAAAUUGGAGGUCGUCAGUUCGAUUCUGGCUGUGGGCA